rfam:Salmo salar isolate Sally breed double haploid chromosome ssa03, whole genome shotgun sequence.
UGCAUUCACUACUGUAAGUCACUCUGGGUAAGAGUGUCUGCUAAAUGACUAAAA